GUCUUAAUGUGAUGCUAAGUAAAUGUAGCAGGAUAAUCUUUGAAAGCAUCAUCUGAGAAAUAAAUAAAAAUUUGUGUCAGUCUGAUUAGGAU